rnacentral:rRNA from 1 species
UCAAAUGAAUUGACGGGGCCCGCACAAGCGGUGGAGCAUGUGGUUUAAUUCGAAGCAACGCGAAGAACCUUACCAGGUCUUGACAUCCCGAUGCUAUUUCUAGAGAUAGAAAGUUACUUCGGUACAUCGGUGACAGGUGGUGCAUGGUUGUCGUCAGCUCGUGUCGUGAGAUGUUGGGUUAAGUCCCGCAACGAGCGCAACCCUUACCCUUAGUUGUUUUCCCGAAAGGAUUACCCUCUAAGGGGACUGCCCCGGACAACGGGGAGGAAGGUGGGGAUGACGUCAAGUCCGCAUGCUCCUUACGUCUAGGGCUACACACGUCCUACAAUGGGGUCGACAGUGGGAUGCAAAGCCGCGAGGUGGAGCCAAUCCCCAAACGGCCUCUCAGUUCGGAUAGUAGUCUGCAACUCGACUACUUGAAGUCGGAAUCGCUAGUAAUGGCGGAUCAGCAUGCCGCCGUGAAUACGUUCCCGGGUCUU